ACUGUGAAUGCUAAGUAAAAAUACAAUUCUGAAAGCAAUUCACAAC
rfam:Algibacter sp. SK-16 scaffold6_cov55_read183, whole genome shotgun sequence.